rnacentral:snoRNA from 1 species
CCUGUCAUGCUGAAUUUUAAUGUGGCUCCCUUUCCUGAUGUAUGAUUUGAUAAUUUAUAAUUAAAAUAAACAAACAAUGCAGGACAUCAUAAGUGUUUGCUACUCCGAAUCUGAAAGU